GGGCCUUACCGAGAUAACUCCCAACCCCAAUGUGAACGUUACCAAUCUGUUGCCUCGGCGGGAUUCUCUUGCCCCGGGCGCGUCGCAGCCCCGGAUCCCAUGGCGCCCGCCGGAGGACCAACUCCAAACUCUUUUUUUCUCUCCGUCGCGGCUCCCGUCGCGGCUCUGUUUUAUUUUUGCUCUGAGCCUUUCUCGGCGACCCUAGCGGGCGUCUCGAAAAUGAAUCAAAACUUUCAACAACGGAUCUCUUGGUUCUGGCAUCGAUGAAGAACGCAGCGAAAUGCGAUAAGUAAUGUGAAUUGCAGAAUUCAGUGAAUCAUCGAAUCUUUGAACGCACAUUGCGCCCGCCAGUAUUCUGGCGGGCAUGCCUGUCCGAGCGUCAUUUCAACCCUCGAACCCCUCCGGGGGGUCGGCGUUGGGGAUCGGCCCCUCACCGGGCCGCCCCCGAAAUACAGUGGCGGUCUCGCCGCAGCCUCUCCUGCGCAGUAGUUUGCACACUCGCACCGGGAGCGCGGCGCGGCCACAGCCGUAAAACACCCCAAACUUCUGAAAUGUUGACCUCGGAUCAGGUAGGAAUACCCGCUGAACUUAAGCAUAUCAAUAAGGCGGAGGAA
rnacentral:rRNA from 1 species